rnacentral:misc_RNA from 1 species
UAGGGAGACCUACUUUUGAGUCGAGUGCCCAAUCCAAAAAUACAGCACCCUCAAAAGUCAUCCCAGGUCGUGCUAGGAAAAAAGAGACUUUCAAACGUAUCUCAAGUUCGGGAAAAUUGUAGCCAUGACCACUACAGCUUUCCGAAUAGAAAGAGUAAAUGCUCGGAAAAGUUCCAGCCAGAACCUUGAAAACUGCAUAGAAGAAUCAAAAGGGAUCAAGAAUGAAACCAGAACCGGGAAUUAGAAACCCGGAAAAGUUCUGGUGUUCAGGAGUUCGGAAACGAACAGAAAUUCUCGAAAAGAGAGAAAGU